UGACUUUGGGUACGACCACGUUGAGGACGGACGACUUAACAACAGACAAUAUCCCCGACAUUCUAUCAUCAGACAUGACGUGUACCAGGAGAAAGAAGUACAUGUAGUUUUUGUUAUCAUGGUUGAGGAGGAAACAGAAGAGACAACGACAACGUGCUUAAAAAAAUAUGGCAUUCACUUCACCCAAUAUUGAGACAGCGUGAGACUCUCGGUGAUUUUCGACAUUUAAUCUAGAUCUGUUCCCGCAAUUGUUGGAAGACCAUGACAAAUUCUUCAGCUACUUUCGAAUGAAACCCAGUUUUUUAAAUGAACUUUUGAAGAAAUGUAGGGAUGACCUGACGUUUCGGAUUGCAAGAAUGAGUCUUUCUUCAUUCAUGUCUGCGGUAUAUACAUAGUAAACAAAGCAAAACAAGGCAUUACGAUUCUUUACCUUUUCGUGAUAUUGCAUCAUAGCUAUUCAUAUACAACUGAUAGGGAAAAGAGAAGUAAUUCUGAAGGGGACUAGCUGAUGAAAUUGUUUCCCUUGAAACAGACGGGAAAAAAUUGAAACAUGUUCUCUGGGAAUCGUGUCGUCAGUGAAGAGGAUAAUCGUGUCGGUGUCAACGGGGACAGAGUGCAAAGAGAUGAUGACUACCAGAAAGAAGUGGAAACUGAACAAGCAUGUGGUGAGCAGAAACAGAACAGCACCACCAAACAGCCCUGCGUCAGACUCCUGCCUGUUCACACAAGAUAAAGAGAGGGUGACACAAAAACACCCCCAUGGAAAGAAAGCUUACGACUGAUGACACAUCUGACUGCUCUCCCACUAGCUUACCCAGAGUUGGAGGAAGCAAGAAGAGACAGUCUUCAUCUCUGCCCAAUAUAUGCAAAACAGCAUAGAAAGCAAAGGCCCUAAACUGGGGCGACGGAGCAUCAGUCUUCCAUCCUCGUCACGGACUCGAUGAGUGCACUGGAAAAAGUGGAGAAGCACAUGGUGUAAGCUGACUGGCAAGAGGCAAUACGAAAAGAAUGCUUGUGUACCCUCAUCGCUUGAAGGUCACGUCAAGCGAAGCCAUAGAAGGGUCGUUGUCCUUUUCUGAGAGUCGGCCUGUGAGACAAGAAAGCUUGCCCAUCACUCACCAGUAGAGAGAUCAGAGCCAGCACAGAGAUGUAUUGUGUUAUUGUUAAGGGAUGUCACAUACACAUGUAUCUCUGAAAUAUUCGUAUUUGUUGUCUAAUAAAUAACACAGACGUAAUCUGACGGCAUCAACAA